rnacentral:misc_RNA from 1 species
GGUGAAGGUAUUACCAUUAGUCCUUCUGGGGCUUGCACUCUAGCUAUGUAUGUGGCAUUUGGAGAUCCCACAUUUGUUACGAUUCUUUUGAUGGCCUGGGAAGCUUGGUGUCCAUCAAGCUUGCUAAUGGAUAUUGAUGGGUAAUUAAUAUUAGAGAUGAGCUUGUCAAAACUGAUUCUUGGACAGUUGAAGUUUGUGUUGGCCAUGGAUCUUAUGUUCUUCUGUGAGUACCCAAAAUAACACAGGAAUUGAAGAUAAUCUUCGGUCAUUGUGUUGAAAACUAAUCCCGGGUUAAGAGCUUUAAUUGGAUUUAUUUCUCCAACCCCUAUCUCAUGUGGAUUUGAAUUUGAAUGGGAGCUGUUUGUCAAGGGUUUCCCCAAGUUGUUGUAAAAGGUUGCCGUUGUCAUAAGUGCAGAUUUGAUCAUGGAUGAACUCCAUUCACGGUGAAUGGAUUUUAUGAAUGCAGCAGCACCUGCUACAUGAGGGCAAGCCAUUGAUGUCCCAGAUCUUAUUGCAUAUCCUGAUGGCUUCUUUCCAAUUGGAAUACUUCCUGACUCAUUUUUAGGAAUCAUGGCAGCUAAAAUGGCAACUCCUGGAGCCAUUAUAUCUGGCUUCAGAAUGUUUUCUGUAAGCUGUGCAGGCCCCCUGGAAGAGAAAUAUGCAACGACUGGUGCUGGUUUAUACAUUGGAAGAUCAACUGCUGGAAGGAUUGUUGCAGUUGGAUAUUUGGUAGAAUUGAUGUAUUGAAGGAGCUGAGCUCCAGCAAUAUUGCCAACUUCUGCAAAUGGAAAAACACCAGAAUCAAAGGGUACGCCUUUCUCAUCCUCAUUGAUCAAAAUCAACCCUUUGGCUCUGGCAUCUUCUACAACUAAUUUCUUG